rnacentral:rRNA from 1 species
CUUGCUUUUUGCUGACGAGUGGCGAACGGGUGCGUAACGCGUAUGCAACCUACCUUCUUCUGAGGAAUAGCCCAGAGAAAUUUGGAUUAAAACCUCAUGAUAAUAUUUAUUCGCAUGUUUAAAUAUUUAAAAUUUCGAUGGAAGAAGAUGGGCAUGCGUAACAUUAGUUUGUUGGUGAGGUAAUGGCUCACCAAGACUACGAUGUUUAGGGGGUCUGAGAGGAUGAUCCCCCACACUGGUACUGAGACACGGACCAGACUCCUACGGGAGGCAGCAGUGAGGAAUAUUGGUCAAUGGACGAAAGUCUGAACCAGCCAUGCCGCGUGAAGGAUGACUGCCCUACGGGUUGUAAACUUCUUUUGUAUAGGAAGAAACCCCUCUACGUGUAGAGGGUUGACGGUACUAUUCGAAUAAGCACCGGCUAACUCCGUGCCAGCAGCCGCGGUAAUACGGAGGGUGCGAGCGUUAUCCGGAAUUAUUGGGUUUAAAGGGUGCGUAGGCGGAAAUUUAAGUCAGUGGUG